rnacentral:rRNA from 1 species
GCGCUAUUGGAUGAGCCUACGUCGGAUUAGCUUGUUGGUGGGGUAAUGGCCUACCAAGGCGACGAUCCGUAGCUGGUCUGAGAGGACGAUCAGCCACACUGGGACUGAGACACGGCCCAG